rnacentral:rRNA from 1 species
GAGGGAUAGCCCAGAGAAAUUUGGAUUAAUACCUCAUAGUAUUAUAGUAUGGCAUCAUAUUAUAAUUAAAGUCACAACGGUGAAAGAUGAGCAUGCGACCCAUUAGCUUGUUGGUAAGGUAACGGCUUACCAAGGCAACGAUGGGUAGGGGUCCUGAGAGGGAGAUCCCCCACACUGGUACUGAGACACGGACCAGACUCCUACGGGAGGCAGCAGUGAGGAAUAUUGGACAAUGGGCGCAAGCCUGAUCCAGCCAUGCCGCGUGCAGGAUGACGGUCCUAUGGAUUGUAAACUGCUUUUGCACAGGAAGAAACAACGCUACGUGUAGCGUCUUGACGGUACUGUGAGAAUAAGGAUCGGCUAACUCCGUGCCAGCAGCCGCGGUAAUACGGAGGAUCCAAGCGUUAUCCGGAAUCAUUGGGUUUAAAGGGUCCGUAGGCGGUCUUAUAAGUCAGUGGUGAAAUCUCCCCGCUCAACGGGGAAACGGCCAUUGAUACUGUAGGACUUGAAUUAUUAGGAAGUAACUAGAAUAUGUAGUGUAGCGGUGAAAUGCUUAGAGAUUACAUGGAAUACCAAUUGCGAAGGCAGGUUACUACUAAUGGAUUGACGCUGAUGGACGAAAGCGUGGGUAGCGAACAGGAUUAGAUACCCUGGUAGUCCACGCCGUAAACGAUGGAUACUAGCUGUUGGAAGCAAUUUCAGUGGCUAAGCGAAAGUGAUAAGUAUCCCACCUGGGGAGUACGUU